UGGCGGCAUGCCUAACACAUGCAAGUCGAACGGCUCUUCGGAGCAGUGGCGCACGGGUGAGUAACGCGUGGGAAUCUACCCUGAGGUUCGGAAUAACGGUUGGAAACGACCGCUAAUACCGGAUGUGCCCUAUGGGGCAAAGGCUUGCCGCCUUGGGAGGAGCCCGCGUCCGAUUAGCUUGUUGGUGGGGUAAUGGCCUACCAAGGCGACGAUCGGUAGCUGGUCUGAGAGGAUGACCAGCCACACUGGGACUGAGACACGGCCCAGACUCC
rnacentral:rRNA from 2 species